UACGUAGGGACCGAGCGUUGUCCGGAUUUAUUGGGCGUAAAGCGCUCGCAGGUGGCCCGUCGCGUCGUGCGUGAAAGACCCCGGCUCAACCGGGGGGUGUCGUGCGAUACGGGCGGGCUGGAGGCCAGUAGGGGGAUGCGGGAAUUCCGGGUGUAGCGGUGGAAUGCGUAGAGAUCCGGAAGAACACCGGUGGCGAAGGCGGCCGCUGGGCAGGUGGCUGA
rnacentral:rRNA from 1 species